AAUUCACCCAAUGGAUAUGCUCUUUCUUUUUCUACUUUUUUUGAGAUAAUGUUUUUGCAUAAGGACACAUUGAUUAAAAAAGGAAACGCACAGCUGAACCAUUUUUAUGCAUUCACUGCUAAGAAUCAUCCAAUCUUAUAAGAGUUAGUGAGAGUUAACAACUACAAUGCCUUCUGUUUAUGAUUAUUUAAUGGUGAGCUGAUCUGAGUAAUCAUUUGAGAAAUGCAGGUUCGGGGUUGGACGUUCACAAUAUUUGCUGGAUCAUGAAAUUUUUGACGAGAAGAAAAGAACUGAUGAAAGAAAAGAGGUGUGAUGUUUCUUCUGGAUGACCUGCUCCUGUUAAAGGUGUAGAUUGGUGUGGGUUUUCAUGAGCUUGGAGUGGGUUUCAGUUCGUCUUCCAGAGCAUGAUACCUGAUAAAUUUCUAUUGCAUUGCCAGGAAAUGUUAGGUUGCCUGGCAUUUAUGUGUGUUAGUGUUGAUUGCCAAUUUGAUGGGCUAACACAUGGAUUGUGGAUGGCCAGAGCUCAGAAAGCAAGUUG